UAUCCGUGGUGUGGCCACUUACUUAUCAUUAUCUUGAAAUGCUCCCACACCUUGUAAAGGGUUUCAUCUUUGUAUUGUUUAAAAUUAGUUAUUUCUCGCCGAAGUUG
rfam:Gossypium hirsutum cultivar TM-1 chromosome 9, whole genome shotgun sequence